ACAGGAAGGUGCAGGGUUUUUGGUGGCUUAUCUGCCAUCCCCGCAGGGUGAUGCAGAGAUUUUGUUUCAAAUUGUUUUAUACCAGAUAGUCCAGAAUAGGCUUUUCCUUGAAGACGUCGGCAGCCCCUGGGGAGGGCGAGAGACCAUCACUGGCAGUGAGGAUGAUGGCUGGAAGGAUACAGGCUUUGAAGAAUACGAGCGCAUUUCUUUUGUUCGUGAGAUCGUCUUCAGACUCUGGGACUUCCAGCAGAGGACAUUGUCUGCAACCAGAGAACCAGGUCAUUGUCCUUUUUCGAUGUCACGCUGGCGACCGAUGAAUGUUAUCAGAGGGUGUUGGAGACUAUAGGACGUCGUGGCAGCUUUCCUGGGGGAUUUUGCCGACGUCUUCCCCGGACAUGAGGAAGACCGGGACCUUCUGGGGAUCUGGACUGGACGGAGACGCUUUUUAGUCCGCCUGCGAUCCGACCCUACGGACUGCAAAUGAGACACAUCCGGAUCCACGCAGGAGAGAGCCCCAUCAAGCGCAGCGAAUGUGGCAAGAGUGUCACGGUGAAGUCCACCUUGGACCACCACGUCAAGACUCAUUUAGGGCUGCAUGUCUAGCUUCUCUCUUAUUUUGUCUGACAGGCCUGUGUCUGUCUCCUUCACUUCUUCCUCUUCACUGCAUGCUACAUGCAAAGAUGAAACUGUAGGUUCAUGAGCCCUAUGUUCUUAACUUGAGAAACACACUGUGCAUGCUGCUAGAUUAGUCAGAUCUGAGAUCAGAAUUGGAUUUGGUCCAUGCUCCUUCUAAAUUUUAAUUCUAUAGUACAUUAAGGAAGCCUGCUCCUAUUAUCGCACUGAAUUCCUUUAAGUGAAUGCCUUUAACAGUUUGUAACCAUUUUAUGAGGC